CUUGAAAUCACGUAGUCAUAGAUCCCAUGGGCAUCAGAGUGUGGUAGCGCUGGACCCCAAGGACUGGACCAAAGGCAGGGGGAGGUGUUCCAGCUGCACCUUCGGUUUUUCUUUCUCCACAGCACAUUCUCUAGGCUGGACCCUGGUGGCCCGGGACAGGUGACCGAGGAAGAUCGCCCACCGAGACUCCUGUUGUGCAGAAGUGCUUCGUGGCUUUGAGGAGGUGGAGCUCCCAACACCUGGGUUCCUCAGCCAGACUGCCUCGUGGACCACUCCUUAAAAGACCCAGGGCUCCUCCCAGCUGACCCUGAAGAGGGAAGACCCAAAUUCCAUCUCAGCAGGACAACCGUGUUGUUACUUGAACCCCACUGAAGAUCACUGUUGAGUGUAACAUUCCUCCACUAACCAGAGAAAGACAGAGGGAGGUCUCCUGAGGAUAGUUCCUUCUCUCUCCAUCAUCAGCAUGCACUUAUGGUUAGACGUUGUAACCUUUGUUGCCUUCUUUGGCUCAAGAUGAAUGUACUCCCUCUAUUCUAUUGAGUCUUAGAAGGAUGAAAGGUACUUUGAAGGAAAAAGAACCUGAUUCU
rnacentral:lncRNA from 12 species